rnacentral:rRNA from 1 species
AACGAACGCUGGCGGCAGGCCUAACACAUGCAAGUCGAGCGGACCCUUCGGGGUUAGCGGCGGACGGGUGAGUAACGCGUGGGAAUAUGCCCUUCUCUACGGAAUAGUCCUGGGAAACUGGGGGUAAUACCGUAUACGCCCUUUGGGGGAAAGAUUUAUCGGGGAAGGAUUAGCCCGCGUUGGAUUAGGUAGUUGGUGGGGUAAUGGCCUACCAAGCCGACGAUCCAUAGCUGGUUUGAGAGGAUGAUCAGCCACACUGGGACUGAGACACGGCCCAGACUCCUACGGGAGGCAGCAGUGGGGAAUCUUAGACAAUGGGGGCAACCCUGAUCGAGCCAUGCCGCGUGAGUGAUGAAGGCCUUAGGGUUGUAAAGCUCUUUAAGCUGGGAAGAUAAUGACGGUACCAGCAGAAGAAGCCCCGGCUAACUCCGUG